rnacentral:rRNA from 1 species
GAUGAACGCUAGCGGCAGGCUUAACACAUGCAAGUCGAGGGGCAGCGCGGUAGCAAUACUGGCGGCGACCGGCAAACGGGUGCAGAACACGUACAGAACCUACCUUGAUCUGGGGCAUAGCCCGAAGAAAUUCGGAUUAACUCCCCAUAAUAUAGAUGAAUGGCAUCAUUUGACUAUUAAAAAUUUAUUGGAUCGAGAUGGCUGUGCGUCCCAUUAGCUAGUUGGUAGGGUAACGGCCUACCAAGGCGACGAUGGGUAGCUGGUGUGAGAGCACGACCAGCCACACGGGCACUGAGACACGGGCCCGACUCCUACGGGAGGCAGCAGUGAGGAAUAUUGGUCAAUGGACGCAAGUCUGAACCAGCCAUGCCGCGUGAAGGAUGAAGGCCUUCUGGGUUGUAAACUUCUUUUACCUGGGAAGAAACCACUUUUUUCUAAGAGUGUUGACGGUACCAGAGGAAUAAGCACCGGCUAACUCCGUGCCAGCAGCCGCGGUAAUACGGAGGGUGCAAGCGUUAUCCGGAUUUACUGGGUUUAAAGGGUGUGUAGGCGGGCUUUUAAGUCAGUGGUGAAAUCUCCGGGCUCAACCCGGAAACUGCCAUUGAUACUAUUAGUCUUGAAUUUUGUUGAGGUAGGCGGAAUAAGUCAUGUAGCGGUGAAAUGCAUAGAUAUGACUUAGAACACCAAUUGCGAAGGCAGCUUGCUAAACAAAUAUUGACGCUGAGGCACGAAAGCGUGGGGAUCAAACAGGAUUAGAUACCCUGGUAGUCCACGCCCUAAACGAUGAUUACCCGACAUACGCGAUACACGGUGUGUGUCUGAGCGAAAGCAUUAAGUAAUCCACCUGGGAAGUACGACCGCAAGGUUG